rnacentral:lncRNA from 1 species
CUCCCGUGAGAGGGUCUUUGCGGUAAAGCCAGCACUUGCUCAGCAGCGGAAGACUCCGAAUUUUCGGUACUCUUCAGGGAUGAGUCAUGUGGCAGUGGAAAAUGCGCUCGGGCUGGACCAGCAGUUUGCUGGCCUAGACCUGAACUCUUCAGAUAAUCAGACUGGAGGAAGUACAGCAAGCAGGCGCUAUAUCCCUCCUCAUUUAAGGAACAGAGAAGCUACUAAAGGAUUCUAUGACAAAGACAGUUCAGGGUGGAGUUCUAGUAAAGAUAAAGAUGCAUACAGCAGCUUUGGAUCCCGGGGUGACUCACGAGGGAAGUCUAGCUUCUUUGGUGAUCGUGGAAGUGGAUCAAGGGGAAGGUUUGAUGAUCGUGGACGGGGAGACUAUGAUGGCAUUGGUGGCCGUGGAGAUAGGAGUGGCUUUGGCAAAUUUGAAAGAGGUGGAAAUAGUCGCUGGUGUGAUAAAUCAGAUGAAGAUGACUGGUCAAAGCCACUCCCACCAAGUGAACGCUUGGAACAGUAAGUUUUGAAGUAUGCUAUUUGCGGUGAAAUCUUUCUUAUUGGUAUUCCAUGUGAACUUACCGAUCUAUUUCAGGGAACUCUUUUCUGGAGGCAAUACUGGGAUUAACUUUGAGAAAUAUGAUGACAUUCCAGUUGAAGCAACAGGCAACAACUGUCCUCCACAUAUUGAAAGUUUCAGUGAUGUUGAGAUGGGAGAAAU